rnacentral:rRNA from 1 species
GUCCACGCCGUAAACGAUGGAUACUAGCUGUUGGAAGCAAUUUCAGUGGCUAAGCGAAAGUGAUAAGUAUCCCACCUGGGGAGUACGGGCGCAAGCCUGAAACUCAAAGGAAUUGACGGGGGCCCCGCACAAGCGGUGGAGCAUGUGGUUUAAUUCGAUGAUACGCGAGGAACCUUACCAAGGCUUAAAUGUAGUUUGACCGAUUUGGAAACAGAUCUUUCGCAAGACAAAUUACAAGGUGCUGCAUGGUUGUCGU